rnacentral:rRNA from 1 species
GUGGGGAAUAUUGGACAAUGGGCGCAAGCCUGAUCCAGCCAUGCCGCGUGAGUGAUGAAGGCCCUAGGGUUGUAAAGCUCUUUCACCGGUGAAGAUAAUGACGGUAACCGGAGAAGAAGCCCCGGCUAACUUCGUGCCAGCAGCCGCGGUAAUUCGAAGGGGGCUAGCGUUGUUCGGAAUUACUGGGCGUAAAGCGCACGUAGGCGGGUAUUUAAGUCAGGGGUGAAAUCCCGGAGCUCAACUCCGGAACUGCCUUUGAUACUGGGUACCUAGAGUAUGGAAGAGGUAAGUGGAAUUCCGGGUGUAGAGGUGAAAUUCGUAGAUAUUCGGAGGAACACCAGUGGCGAAGGCGGCUCACUGGUCCGGUACUGACGCUGAGGUGCGAAAGCGUGGGGAGCAAACAGGAUUAGAUACCCGUGUAGUCC